rnacentral:rRNA from 1 species
UACGUAGGGCGCAAGCGUUGUCCGGAAUUAUUGGGCGUAAAGAGCUCGUAGGCGGCUUGUCACGUCGGGUGUGAAAGCCCGGGGCUUAACCCCGGUCUGCAUUCGAUACGGGCUAGCUAGAGUGUGGUAGGGGAGAUCGGAAUUCCUGGUGUAGCGGUGAAAUGCGCAGAUAUCAGGAGGAACACCGGUGGCGAAGGCGGAUCUCUGGGCCAUUACUGACGCUGGAGGAGCGAAAGCGUGGGGAGCGAACAGG